rnacentral:tRNA from 1 species
AUUUAUAUAGUUUAUUUAAAACAUUACAUUUUCACUGUAAAAAUUAUACUAUUAUAUAUAAAUA